rnacentral:lncRNA from 10 species
CCAGCAGGCAAUGAUGGCAUCAGACUAGAGGAUCACCAGUAAAUCAUUGUAAACAAGCGUGGAAAGAGAGAAAGUCCACUUUAAGCGAUGGAAAAUCAGCCCCAAUUCUGAAGGAACAACCAUGAACAGAUGAUUUAAGGAGAAUCAAUUCUUUGCUCUUUGCAGAAGGAGCCAACAGAGUGAGAUGAAGGGGACAACUUCAGAUACUCAGGCAGAAGCAUAAGUCCCCACCUGCUGACCUGCUGCCUGCUAUCUUAACACGAAUUCUUCAUCUGAAUGGAUGAGCUUUUCACAGAGUUCCAAACUAAGGAAUCCAGGAGUGGCCAAUCCAGAGAUUCAUUCCUUAUCUUUGACGAACAUCUGAACUCCUGGCUCAUCCUGUGGAAUUCAGGCCAUACAGGAGAUCAAGAUCCUUCCACCCCACUUGCUGAUACAGCUUCAACAAAGAAGGGUGUUCACCAACUGACUACAAGAAUCAUUGCUAACCAGGGAUGACUCAUUCUCACAUCCAUCCUAAAUAGACUUCCUUGGAUACAAAAAAUCCAGAGUUUGCCGUAUCUCCAUGGACACUGUCAUUUAGACAGGACACUUACUUCUUGGGAAACUCACUUCCAUUUUCCUAAUAAGGUUCCCUUUGAAGACUAAGAAUUUCUCCAAGACAAAAUUCAUGUAAGCCAAAAUACCAGACAUCAGGCCUGUAAUUGUGGUCACCCUGGCCACAGCCAAGUUGUCACCUUCACUCACGAUCAUCUUUCUGCCCUCUGCUACUUGUAGAAUAAUGAUCAUAAAGUAUUGUUGUCUGAAGCCCCUUUAGAAAAGUUGAUUUACAGCAGCCCAUGAGAGAGGUAGAUUAGAGAUGACCAAUGUCCUGAGAACACCAAGAAGCACUCAUCUUUGAUUCUCAGGGCUUGACAUUUCAGAAACAAAUCCAGACACAUUAUAAUAAUGACCCUGGUCCAUUGUGAGCCCAUUAGAAAACACUCACAAAUAAGUAUUCAAAAUUUUCCAGUUAUUUUGACUCCUAAAAAUGUCUUCCAAGAUAUAUCAAAGUUUCCGUAAUUUUGCAAUCAACUUGGUUUUUAUUUAAACCAAGUAGCAACUCUCUCUGUAGCAACCCUGACUUUUCUUGUUAUUAAAUCACUCUAUAAUUAAAUAUAAAGUUAUUGGUGACAUUCACAGAAAAUCCUAGAGAGUAUGGAGUUCUUGCUACAGAAGAUAUACUUUAUUGAAAUGUAAAAGAAGUCAGUUAAAUUUAUAAUUUCAACUUGCCCAAACAUUUAGCUCAAAAGUAGUGAUCUUAGUUUUGACAUUUCUUGCAUUGGACUCAAGGCUUCUAAUAGAUUACAAGUUCCUUUUAUUGAUUCAACACAUUAUUAUUGAGUAACCUUUGUUCUAGACACUGGCAAAGUUAAAAUAAUAGCAACAUAAACAAAAGGUCUUUUCUUACUGUUUAAUAGGAGAAACAUAUUAGAUAAAUGAUUUUAAUGCACUGAUAUAAAAGCUAUAGUUAUCCAACUUCCUUUUAUUGAUUCAACACGUUAUUAUUGAGUAACCUUUGUUCCAGAUACUGACAAAGUUAAAAUAAUGGCAACAUAAACGAAAGGUCUUUUCUUACUGUUUAAUAGGAGAAACAUAUAUUAGGUAAAUGAUUUCAAUGCACUGGUAUAAGAGCUAUAGUUAUUCACUGAACAACUGGGACGACUUGAGCAAGUCACUUGAUCUUUCUGGACCUCACUUUUCUUUUUU